rnacentral:rRNA from 1 species
UACGUAGGGGGCAAGCGUUGUCCGGAUUUAUUGGGCGUAAAGAGCGUGUAGGCGGUCAGGUAGGUCGGUUGUGAAAACUGGAGGCUCAACCUUCAGAGGUCGACCGAAACCCCCUGGCUAGAGUCCGAGAGAGGAGAGUGGAAUUCCUGGUGUAGCGGUGAAAUGCGCAGAUAUCAGGAAGAACACCCGUGGCGAAAGCGGCUCUCUGGAACGGUACUGACGCUGAGACGCGAAAGCGUGGGGAGCGAACAGG